ACGGGCACGCGCCGCCCGAGAAGCCGGCGCCCAACGGCAAGGCGCACAUCAACGGCGUGAACGGCAAGAAGGGCGUGAACGGCGUCAACGGCAAGAAGGGCGUGAACGGCCAUGCGGACCGGAUCCACCUCACGGUGAGCACGGGCGGCGGGGGCCAGGACGGCACCGGGCUCCGCGUGGCGUUCCAGGGCGCGCCGGGCGCGUACAGCGAGUUCGCGGCCAAGACGGCGCUGCCAGGGUGCGACACGGUCCCGUGCCGAGCGUUCGCGGACGCGCUGGCGGCCGUGGAGCGCGG
rnacentral:lncRNA from 1 species